UAGGGAAUCUUCGGCAAUGGACGAAAGUCUGACCGAGCAACGCCGCGUGAGUGAAGAAGGUUUUCGGAUCGUAAAACUCUGUUGUUAGAGAAGAACAAGGACGUUAGUAACGGAACGUCCCCUGACGGUAUCUAACCAGAAAGCCACGGCUAACUACGUGCCAGCAGCCGCGGUAAUACGUAGGUGGCAAGCGUUGUCCGGAUUUAUUGGGCGUAAAGCGAGCGCAGGCGGUUUCUUAAGUCUGAUGUGAAAGCCCCCGGCUCAACCGGGGAGGGUCAUUGGAAACUGGGAGACUUGAGUGCAGAAGAGGAGAGUGGAAUUCCAUGUGUAGCGGUGAAAUGCGUAGAUAUAUGGAGGAACACCAGUGGCGAAGGCGGCUCUCUGGUCUGUAACUGACGCUGAGGCUCGAAAGCGUGGGGAGCAAACAGG
rnacentral:rRNA from 1 species